GUUUAUUUAUCGGUGGAGCAGCAGAACAUUUUCCACAGACAGUUUUCCUGCCCGUUGGCUUGUUUUAACCAGUUUUCUGCCUUCGGCUGAUUCUACCAGCAGACACUGAAAGGACUCUGAUAGUUCGAGUGAAAGUAGCAGUUCCUCCUGAAGAUCAGAGAUUGCAGCAUCUGAGGGCCUCUUCAAGAGAAGACGUAGUUGAGGAAGGCGUUCUGGAGCAGGACCAGAAAGACCACGACCAAGCAGCCUUGACAUCUUAUACAGCGUCUCCCUCAGGUCCCUCUCUAUCUCCCCACACAUCCACCAACCACUGGAACACAUCUCCAAAGUUCUGCCGGGCCAGCUCAACUUCUCCUCAGAAGAAGUGCUGCCAGAUGAAGGAGCCUUUUGAGAGGCAGCUGGCAUCGUGAUUGGACUGUACUUUGGUCUGUUCCAAUCCAGCUUCAGCUCCAGAGACGGCAGGCGGGACGAGUCAACGGAGGCCGGGUGGAUGAAGGCAUGCAGCUGAGUACAAUCCAGAAAACAACAGAGGAGGAGUGCAGGGCCAGAACAACCAGAGUAGCAUCGUAUGUCUCUUAGAAAACAUCAUAGUAGAGCCUUUGCUAUGAAAAAACGCCAUCAUAUACAUCGUAUAUUGUACAAAUAACAAGUCAAAGGAAAGAGACGUACGUUAGAGAAUUGUAGUAAUUGUGGGCUGACUGAUUUACUGAUUAUCAGUAUUUUAUUUUUUACUGAUUUACGGUAAUAAAUACAUUUAAAAAUG